GUCUGCAGGUCAAGGUUCGUCCAAAUAAAUUGCGUCAUUUUAAUCUUAAGUGUAGGUUAUGACUCGAUAAGAUUCACUUGGCAGUAAGUUGAUUGUCGCGAGAUUACAUAAAGCGCACGUCUGUUCUGCCGUAACAGUUGGGGAGUGAAGCCGUACAAAAGACCCGUGAAAGAGAAGCAGCAGAAGGAGCAGACAACCAACCAAACCAUCAAGAAGCUGCUGGCACUGUCCCGACCAGCAUCAGACAAGAAGACUGCUGAGAAGAUAGUACAGCGCGCGG